CCAUCUCCCUUCCUCGCUCUCCUACUCUCCUGGACACAAUUGUGCUGGUGGACCUUCCUGGGGCUGGAGACGCCAACAAACAGAGAGAUGAGAUGUGGAAGGAGUGCCUGAGCCGCUGCGCCUCCAUCUGGAUCGUCAAUGACAUCAACAGAGCUCUGUCUGACAAAGAGGCGCAGAAAAUCUUUCAGGAAAGUUUGAGGAGCAUCGCUGGAGGAGGAGAGUGUCACAACAUCACUUUCAUCUGCACCAAAACAGACAUCAUCAAUCCAAAAGAGUUAAAAAAGAAUGACAAAAUCACUG